UCCUAUAAAAAGUAUUUAAUUUGCCAAAUAAUUUUUUAAAAUUUUACUUUGUCAACUAAUUAAUCCUCCUUCUGCCAACAAAAAUGAGAAAUAUAGCGAAUCGUUCAUCGCCUUUAGAAAGUGGUAAAUCAUUCACCGUUUUCAAAUUUUUUAUCCUUUUUGGUACAAGUUGUGAGGAUUUUUGUGAAUUUGGUAGGAUUAUAUAUAUGAAUUAUUAUAUAGAUUUUUGUUUAGUUGUUAGACUUAUAUAAUUAAGCAUAUUAUUAGGAUUUUUUGUAUUGUUGGAAUUAUAUUUGAUUUGUUGAAUUUUUAAUAUGGCUAUUUA
rnacentral:lncRNA from 1 species